rnacentral:rRNA from 1 species
AACGAACGCUGGCGGCAGGCUUAACACAUGCAAGUCGAGCGCCCUGCAAGGGGAGCGGCAGACGGGUGAGUAACGCGUGGGAACGUACCCUUUUCUACGGAAUAACGCAGGGAAACUUGUGCUAAUACCGUAUACGCCCUUUUGGGGAAAGAUUUAUCGGGGAAGGAUCGGCCCGCGUUGGAUUAGCUAGUUGGUGGGGUAAAGGCCUACCAAGGCGACGAUCCAUAGCUGGUCUGAGAGGAUGAUCAGCCACAUUGGGACUGAGACACGGCCCAAAACUCCUACGGGAGGCAGCAGUGGGGAAUAUUGGACAAUGGGCGCAAGCCUGAUCCAGCCAUGCCGCGUGAGUGAUGAAGGCCCUAGGGUUGUAAAGCUCUUUCUACCGGAGAAGAUAAUGACGGUAUCCGGA